GUGGGGAAUUUUGGACAAUGGGCGAAAGCCUGAUCCAGCCAUGCCGCGUGCAGGAUGAAGGCCUUCGGGUUGUAAACUGCUUUUGUACGGAACGAAAAGACUCCUUCUAAUAAAGGGGGUCCAUGACGGUACCGUAAGAAUAAGCACCGGCUAACUACGUGCCAGCAGCCGCGGUAAUACGUAGGGUGCAAGCGUUAAUCGGAAUUACUGGGCGUAAAGCGUGCGCAGGCGGUUAUGUAAGACAGAGGUGAAAUCCCCGGGCUCAACCUGGGAACUGCCUUUGUGACUGCAUAGCUGGAGUGCGGCAGAGGGGGAUGGAAUUCCGCGUGUAGCAGUGAAAUGCGUAGAUAUGCGGAGGAACACCGAUGGCGAAGGCAAUCCCCUGGGCCUGCACUGACGCUCAUGCACGAAAGCGUGGGGAGCAAACAGGAUUAGAAACCCUAGUAGUCC
rnacentral:rRNA from 1 species